AGCUUUGCAUAGUGGCAGUAUCGUAGCCAAUGAGGUUUAGCCGAGGCACGAUUAUUGCUAACUGAAAACUUUUCCCAAUACCCCACUAUGAUGACUUGAAAUAUAGUCGGCAUUGGCAAUUUUUGGCAGUCUCUACGGAGA
ensembl:snRNA U4 U4 spliceosomal RNA